UCGUCUUCACUCUAGGAGUGUUUCGCGACCAUCUCCGCGAGCCGCGCGUCUGCGGUGUUCUUGCCAUCUCCAACCCGUGGACCGAAAGGAGGGAGUUAAGAAAUUCAACCAAUCAGCUGUGUUUAUUGGUUCGCUGCUGUUGCUUCCAUUUGCCCGCUAGCUGUACCCGUCCAAGGUGGCUAAGAAAGAUCGCGAAAGCGGAUCUAGCAGCAGCAGCUAUACCGAUUACCAAUGAAGUAGCGCGCGGUCAAGUAGACGGGACAGCCAUAACACGAAUUAUCUCGUUUGCCUUCUUUGCCGUUCAGUGUUGCUCGUGCUUUUUCGGUCGCGAUAUAGCAGCAGUGCCAGUUUAACCACCAAACACCGGUAAUAUGCUGCUCGGGAGUUAGUACGGCUUUAGACAUCCGUCGAAGUGAGCGAAUGUGAAAAUUAAGCGACUACCUUCACGUGCGAUAAGAGCUGACGCGCGGUAUCAGUCUCGCAACAGAAGGGAAUUUUCGGUGACGACCCUGCUGAUUGCUGCCUAAUUUCGUUCAAUUUACUUUGCCCGGUGCCUGAGGUGCGAACGUUAGUCAUCAGAAAAACGAGGACGGUGGUUGUGUCGGAACUUCAUUAGAGAAUGACGCGAACGAGAAGUGUGUCUCCGAAAUCGAUCGAAGCAUGCGAGGAUAAACGAUCGGACCAAAGGCUGCUGCAUAAAUGGACCCGCUACUCCAGCGCCAAGCUCGAGGAGGUGGAAGAAACGCUGCUCUCAGCCCUCCGGAAACCCUUCGAAAGCC